rnacentral:rRNA from 1 species
GACGAACGCUGGCGGCGUGCUUAACACAUGCAAGUCGAACGGAAAGGCCCUGCUUUUGUGGGGUGCUCGAGUGGCGAACGGGUGAGUAACACGUGAGUAACCUGCCCUUGACUUUGGGAUAACUUCAGGAAACUGGAGCUAAUACCGGAUAGGAGCUCCUGCUGCAUGGUGGGGGUUGGAAAGUUUCGGCGGUUGGGGAUGGACUCGCGGCUUAUCAGCUUGUUGGUGGGGUAGUGGCUUACCAAGGCUUUGACGGGUAGCCGGCCUGAGAGGGUGACCGGCCACAUUGGGACUGAGAUACGGCCCAGACUCCUACGGGAGGCAGCAGUGGGGAAUAUUGCACAAUGGGCGGAAGCCUGAUGCAGCAACGCCGCGUGCGGGAUGACGGCCUUCGGGUUGUAAACCGCUUUCGCCUGUGACGAAGCGUGAGUGACGGUAAUGGGUAAAGAAGCACCGACUAACUACGUG